GACGAACGCUGGCGGCGUGCUUAACACAUGCAAGUCGAACGAAGAGCGACGGAAGCUUGCUUCUAUCAAUCUUAGUGGCGAACGGGUGAGUAACGCGUAAUCAACCUGCCCUUCAGAGGGGGACAACAGUUGGAAACGACUGCUAAUACCGCAUACGAUCUAAUCUCGGCAUCGAGGAUGGAUGAAAGGUGGCCUCUACAUGUAAGCUAUCACUGAAGGAGGGGAUUGCGUCUGAUUAGCUAGUUGGAGGGGUAGCGGCCCACCAAGGCGAUGAUCAGUAGCCGGUCUGAGAGGAUGAACGGCCACAUUGGGACUGAGACACGGCCCAGACUCCUACGGGAGGCAGCAGUGGGGAAUCUUCCGCAAUGGACGAAAGUCUAACGGAGCAACGCCGCGUGAGUGAUGACGGCCUUCGGGUUGUAAAGCUCUGUUAAUCGGGACGAAAGGCCUUCUUGCGAAUAGUGAGAAGGAUUGACGGUACCGGAAUAGAAAGCCACGGCUAACUACGUG
rnacentral:rRNA from 1 species